UAGGAAGAAUGCUGAAGCUUGAGCUGACC
rnacentral:piRNA from 2 species